GCUGUGGGCUCCAUGUAGCUUGAAUCUUGAGGCGUUAAAUUUCAACAGGAAGCACUAGUAUGAAAAUUAUUUAUCCCAACUGCUUGUGAUCAAGACCUGAACAGAACUUGCACAACUGCGAAGCUACGUCCAAUUGCCAAUUAUUUGCAAUUUUACCAUACUAAUUGGGAAAAAUCUUUUAGUAAUCAUGGAAUAAUAUGUUUAAGACAACCAAAGAAGAAUUAAUAAAGACAUGGAUGAUUCAAAAGAAUUAGCCUAAAUGAGUAUUGUUGU
rnacentral:lncRNA from 1 species